GGAAGGAAGGAAGGAAGGAUAGAAGGAAGAAAGGACAAGUCUGCUUGCAGUGGUUCCCUUCUUAGUGUGGACUGUUGUGAUAAUGGACAAGGUUAUCCCAAAUCUACUUAUUUAUCCAGUGAUAAAAAUGAGCUGGAAGGCCUUUGAAAGAUUCAUGUGAUAUACAGCACCGACUUCUAACAGUUUUUCCUGUUUUGUGUUCAAUAAGGCACUCCCAUAUCCUAAGUACAUGAAUUUAUGGUAUACUUGGGACUAGUCCUGACCAAAAGACUGGCAACUUCCAUCACACCCCAGAACAAGGACUAACAUAAAUACUGUUCUUAGUACUUCUGGACAAGAUCACUUUUACACCUAGGCCCUGCCCUAUCUUUUGGGUAACUAGGCUGAAGCACUGUAUCAAAGAGAGUGUGUGUGUCAUCACAAUGGGUAUGAUGUCACAGACUGAGGGCAGGGUGGUUUGUGAGGUAUAAUGACAGCACAUUUGGUUCCAGUUCAGUUCCUUACUGCUACUGGUGAAAUGAAAACCUUGGAGAGCAGUCUUCCAAAGAGAUGCCAAGAAAGCUUCCUAGACGAUUAGGCUCUCUACCCCGCCACCCUCCUCAAGCUUCUCCUCCCUCUUAUUGUUCAAAUCCCGUUCAGUUUCUGUUUAUGGAACAUUCUGCCUAUAGACAAACCACAAAAACCAAUUCAAAUUCUGUUUCCCAUACUCUCCAUUUCCCUUCUAUGAGGCACAUAGUCUUGUUCUCUACCUUAACAGCCUGUUCGCCAAACAUUUUCUCUAUUCCCGAAAGUUCUACUAAGUGUCCUGCUCUCAUUUCUCCAUUUCCCUAUGAUGCCAAUUUUCCCUCUACUCCUUCUAACAGCCCCACUGAAUCAUACCCUGUUUUGUCACACUCACCAAGAGGACAGCUACUGUCUGCCAGACUGAAUAAGACACACUUUGAAGCCAAGAAGCGGAUUUAGCAGACUCACUGAGAGACAUCCAAAAGAAUCUAAGAGAAACCAAUGUCUUCCAGAAGCUACAGAAUCACCAGAAAGCCGUGAAGAUAAGACAUCUUUGAUAGAAUUUCACAUGAUCACUGGAUAUCAUUAGGUUCAUCAGGGUAAAAGGAAGAAAUCCCUAAGACACAAAGACUGCAAGUGAAGAAGAAGGUUAGGGAUGAGAGCUCUCCAUGACUGUAAUUUCUUCCAGAGAAUUAGGAGGCACAGACUCAAUACAGAUGGACAUAAGCUAAGGGGUAGGACAAAGGUGACUGUAGAAUUCUGGAAUUCUAACUAGUUUGUAUGACUGUUGGUGAAGUGUUAAACAAUUUCAUGAUUCAGUUUCUUUAAAUAUACAUGUUAUGAAAUUA